rnacentral:rRNA from 1 species
AGAGUUUGAUCCUGGCUCAGGAUGAACGCUGGCGGCGUGCCUAAUACAUGCAAGUCGAGCGAACAGACGAGGAGCUUGCUCCUCUGACGUUAGCGGCGGACGGGUGAGUAACACGUGGAUAACCUACCUAUAAGACUGGGAUAACUUCGGGAAACCGGAGCUAAUACCGGAUAAUAUAUUGAACCGCAUGGUUCAAUAGUGAAAGACGGUUUUGCUGUCACUUAUAGAUGGAUCCGCGCCGCAUUAGCUAGUUGGUAAGGUAACGGCUUACCAAGGCAACGAUGCGUAGCCGACCUGAGAGGGUGAUCGGCCACACUGGAACUGAGACACGGUCCAGACUCCUACGGGAGGCAGCAGUAGGGAAUCUUCCGCAAUGGGCGAAAGCCUGACGGAGCAACGCCGCGUGAGUGAUGAAGGUCUUCGGAUCGUAAAACUCUGUUAUUAGGGAAGAACAAAUGUGUAAGUAACUAUGCACGUCUUGACGGUACCUAAUCAGAAAGCCACGGCUAACUACGUGCCAGCAGCCGCGGUAAUACGUAGGUGGCAAGCGUUAUCCGGAAUUAUUGGGCGUAAAGCGCGCGUAGGCGGUUUUUUAAGUCUGAUGUGAAAGCCCACGGCUCAACCGUGGAGGGUCAUUGGAAACUGGAAAACUUGAGUGCAGAAGAGGAAAGUGGAAUUCCAUGUGUAGCGGUGAAAUGCGCAGAGAUAUGGAGGAACACCAGUGGCGAAGGCGACUUUCUGGUCUGUAACUGACGCUGAUGUGCGAAAGCGUGGGGAUCAAACAGGAUUAGAUACCCUGGUAGUCCACGCCGUAAACGAUGAGUGCUAAGUGUUAGGGGGUUUCCGCCCCUUAGUGCUGCAGCUAACGCAUUA